rnacentral:rRNA from 1 species
GUCCCAGUUCGAAUUGUAGUCUGCAACCCGACUACAUGAAGCCGGAAUCGCUAGUAAUCGCGGAUCAGAAUGCCGCGGUGAAUACGUUCCCGGGUCUUGUACACACCGCCCGUCACACCAUGGGAGUCGGAAAUGCCCGAAGUCGGUGACCCAACCGCAAGGAGGGAGCCGCCGAAGGCAGGUCCGGUAACUGGGGUGAAGUCGUAACAAGGUACC